rnacentral:rRNA from 1 species
GUGCACCAGUCGCGAAACUUUACAAUGUGCGAAAGCACGAUAAGGGAACUCUGAGUGCCUCCUAAGGAGGCUGUUCAGGUGUCUAAAAGCACCUGAAGGAAGGGCUGGGUAAGACCGGUGCCAGCCGCCGCGGUAACACCGGCAGCCCAAGUGGUAGCCACGUUUAUUGGGUCUAAAGCGUCCGUAGCCGGCUGGGUAAGUUCCUUGGGAAAUUUGGCUGCUUAACAGUCAAGCUUUCAGGGAAUACUGCCCGGCUUGGGACCGGGAGAGGUCAGAGGUACUCCAGGGGUAGGGGUGAAAUCCAUUAAUCCUUGGGGGACCACCGGUAGCGAAGGCGUCUGACCAGACCGGGUCCGACGGUGAGGGACGAAGGCUAGGGGCGCGAACCGGAUUAGAUACCCCCGUAGU